GACGAACGCUGGCGGCGUGCCUAACACAUGCAAGUCGAACGGAAAGGCCCGGCUUUUGCGGGGUGCUCGAGUGGCGAACGGGUGAGUAACACGUGAGUAUCCCGCCCUUGACUGUGUGAUAUCUCCAGGAAACUGCGGCUCAUACAGGAGAGGAGCUCCUGCUGCACGGGGGGGGUUGGAAAGUUUCGGCGGUGGUGGAUGGACUCGCGGCUUAUCAGCUUGUUGGUGGAGUAGUCGCUUACCACGGCUUUGACGGGUAGCCGGCCUGAGAGGGUGAACGGCGACAAGAGGACUGAGGUAGGCCGCAGACGCGUACGGGAGGCAGCGGGGGAAAGUAUUACACAAUGGGCGGGAGUCUGUUGCAGCAGCGUCGCGUGCGGAAUGAUGGCCUUCGGGUUAUAAACCGCUGUCGCCUGUGACAUAGCGGGAGUGACGGUAAUGAGUAAAGAAGCACCGGCUAACUACGUG
rnacentral:rRNA from 1 species